GAUGAACGCUGGCGGCGUGCCUAAUACAUGCAAGUCGAGCGAACAGACGAGGAGCUUGCUCCUUUGACGUUAGCGGCGGACGGGUGAGUAACACGUAGGUAACCUACCUAUAAGACUGGGAUAACUUCGGGAAACCGGAGCUAAUACCGGAUAAUAUUUCGAACCGCAUGGUUCGAUAGUGAAAGAUGGCUUUGCUAUCACUUAUAGAUGGACCUGCGCCGUAUUAGCUAAUUGGUAAGGUAACGGCUUACCAAGGCAACGAUACGUAGCCGACCUGAGAGGGUGAUCGGCCACACUGGAACUGAGACACGGUCCAGACUCCUACGGGAGGCAGCAGUAGGGAAUCUUCCGCAAUGGGCGAAAGCCUGACGGAGCAACGCCGCGUGAGUGAUGAAGGUCUUCGGAUCGUAAAACUCUGUUAUUAGGGAAGAACAAACGUGUAAGUAACUGUGCACGUCUUGACGGUACCUAAUCAGAAAGCCACGGCUAACUACGUG
rnacentral:rRNA from 1 species